AUACUUUUCUGCAUCCUACCACAACCCCAUGGCCAGAAACCAGCUGAGUGACCGUGGUCUGAACUAAUUGUGGUAGCAUGCAGAAAAAGUGAAAGGAUCUCUUUAAGCGCAAAAAGGUCUGCACGCACCCAAGCGUACAGGAUUGUUGGCACAAUUUUACACUAACACAGACUGCAGAAGUGGUUUGUUUAUGGGGAAAAAACACCAAAGGGCUUUCUUUUAAGUUUAUAAUAAAUGCUGUAGCUCAAUCUACUACGGUUUAUACCACCACCACUACCACCACUCGAGCCCAGCCACCAGUUAUGCUUACCCCGAAAAUUUUUGAAGUUGGACCAUAUGUAAUCAGGAAAACUGGCCAACAACAGAUAUUAUUUGAUCCGGCAUGGUCUCUUAAACAAGUCAAAUUGCUGAUGCAAAACAAUGUCUCAGAAAUACAACCAGCUUGUUCACCCUUUUUGCAAACCUCUUUUCAGGCUUGGACAACCUGGCUGCGACAGUGGAACCCUCCUAAAAAACGGGUGCCAAGAGACAUAACUGGUGUUGUGGGAACAGAAUUGGGAAUCAAUUCAGAGCUCCAGUUACCUUACAUGAACUUUUAGAAUCCAAUCUCAUGUUGAUUCACAAGCUACUGCCUACUCCCAUUGGGAUGAACCUUACUUUGGUAAAGCAACCAUUACUUCAUCAAGAUCUAAUAGAGAUCCUAGGAAAAAUCAAGGAGAAUGGACAGAAAACUCUGGUAACUGUUCAUCAUGAUGUGCAAGAAAUACAUCGUGUUGUAGAAAGGGUGGAAAGUGAUGCCGAGCACAAGUGCUGGGAUACCCUUUUCGGGUGGUCACCCACCGCCACGGGUAUCCUGAACAAAUUGUGCCAUCCCGUUGUUGUUCUUCUGAUUUUAGUUAUGAUUGGUUUUGUUUUAUCAGUAAUCUUGCUUAUUGUAAAUUGGAGAAUGAUGAAACGAUGAACAAAAUUAACAUCUAUAAUUAAUGCACACCACUUGGCCAACAUCCUUUACACUAUAGAUGUUCCCAGGACUGUAGACACAAGAAGAUUAUAGGGUUGGUAGAUAUGUUUUACAUCAUUUUCUUUUAUGAUUUGUUUUAAUCACUGUUUUAAUUAUUUUUGUUUCUUGAUUAUAAAAUUAUACUGAGUAAUAUCGAUGAUACUAGGUUUAUUACUUUACUGCUUAAUAUUGAUUAUACUGGUUUAUUAUUUGAUCAAUUUAUUGUUUAAUUGAUUAAUAUUGAUUAUUAUUUAAACAAACUAUUGCUGAUUUAAUUCUUGUCUUAGUUUUCCUGUUUUCUCUUUCCUUUCCUUUUUCUCUUCCCUUUUCCCUGGAAUGUGCUGCCAACACUUGAUGAGUCCUGAAGACUCCACGACGACACCAUGGAACCCUGCUGAUGAAGAUCUUUCGAGGGCAAUCGUCACUCACGGGGUGGUGUAAGAGCCCGUCUGAAGCCCCUCAUUUUCCAUUCUGCCUUCCGAUUGCCACAAGAAAGAAUCCCUUCCUCCACUGCAGUUCCGGCUUAGAACAGGACACAGUGCAGGUGCAACCACUGAACCGUCAUGCUGGCUGAUCCCAACAAGGCCUGGUAAGAACUUGGCAAGGACUUGGCAAGGACUUGGCAAAGACCUGACGUGGACCCAGCACGGGACAGCCUGAUGCGCGGCCUGCUUCUAAUCUCCGUUCUUAAGCCAAAUGAACUUUUGGGGUGACUCCCGGGGUCCUUCAUUGAAGACCCCUCAUCUGCCUCGUUACCAGUGUGACAAACAAAGAAUGAGAACCCUCCUCCCAAGGACUGAGACUGAGACCCCUGCUAUAGGGAGGAGGGGAAAUUGGUGGUCUGACCACUAAUGACAUGACCUGUUUCCCUUCAGUGAUUCAAAUGGACUUAUUCUUUGUCGGAACCCAAGGUGUCCCUCAGACACUCUUGGAUGUUCUGGGCCCAGGGCAGAAGCCUCUGAGACCCUGGCAGGCGGCCAGGGACCCCUGUGGUCUUGAGCUUGACCCAUGGAACAAUUUACCAACCUUGCAGGAAGAACAAGAAAUCACAAAAGUUUAGAUAUUAUAAUAGAAGUAGUCACAAAGUGAAAGGUAGGAUUUUUGAGUGCUGUACAGGGGGGUUUUAGGCCUUGUACAGGGGGGUCUGAGGUUUGUACAUGGGGGUCAGAGGUUCUAAGAUGGAGGGAUUUGGGCGUGCCCUGUCCUCCUUCUUUCUUCUUCCUAUUCUCCAUGUUCUUGAUGAUGUUGGCACUCACAGAUUGGUUUAGAGUAGAAAGUCACUGUUCAAUAUAGGUAGUAGGCAUUGGGGAAAAACUAUAAACACCUAAUACGUAAUGUGUGAUAUAAAAGAUGGCACCAGCCCCUCGGGGAGGGGAGACGGGAGACAGCCAGAGACGGGGACAGACAGAGUCAGGGACAAUGCCAGGGAGUCUGUGUGCCUUGAGAUAACAUGCAAUAAACUGCCUUGAGACCGGA